UUCCGGUUGAUCCUGCCGGACCUGACUGCUAUCGGAUUGAUACUAAGCCAUGCGAGUCAUUGUAGCAAUACAAGGCAUACGGCUCAGUAACGCGUAGUCAACCUAACCUAUGGACGGGAAUAACCUCGGGAAACUGAGAAUAAUGCCCGAUAGAACACUAUACCUGGAAUGGUUUGUGUUCCAAAUGAUUUAUCGCCAUAGGAUGGGACUGCGGCCUAUCAGUUUGUUGGUGAGGUAAUGGCCCACCAAGACUAUUACAGGUACGGGCUCUGAGAGGAGUAGCCCGGAGAUGGGUACUGAGACACGGACCCAGGCCCUAUGGGGCGCAGCAGGCGAGAAAACUUUGCAAUGUGCGAAAGCACGACAAGGUUAAUCCGAGUGAUUUGUGCUAAACGAAUCUUUUGUUAGUCCUAGAAACACUAACGAAUAAGGGGUGGGCAAGUUCUGGUGUCAGCCGCCGCGGUAAAACCAGCACCUCAAGUGGUCAGGAUGAUUAUUGGGCCUAAAGCAUCCGUAGCCGGCUCUGUAAGUUUUCGGUUAAAUCUGUACGCUUAACGUACAGGCUGCCGGGAAUACUGCAGAGCUAGGGAGUGGGAGAGGUAGACGGUACUCGGUAGGAAGUGGUAAAAUGCUUUGAUCUAUCGAUGACCACCUGUGGCGAAGGCGGUCUACCAGAACACGUCCGACGGUGAGGGAUGAAAGCUGGGGGAGCAAACCGGAUUAGAUACCCGGGUAGUCCCAGCUGUAAACUAUGCAAACUCAGUGAUGCAUUGGCUUGUGGCCAAUGCAGUGCUGCAGGGAAGCCGUUAAGUUUGCCGCCUGGGAAGUACGUACGCAAGUAUGAAACUUAAAGGAAUUGGCGGGGGAGCACCACAAGGGGUGAAGCCUGCGGUUCAAUUGGAUUCAACGCCGGG
rnacentral:rRNA from 3 species